rnacentral:rRNA from 1 species
GACGAACGCUGGCGGCGUGCUUAACACAUGCAAGUCGAGCGGUAAGGCCCUUUCGGGGGUACACGAGCGGCGAACGGGUGAGUAACACGUGGGUGACCUGCCCUCAGCUCUGGGAUAAGCCUGGGAAACCGGGUCUAAUACUGGAUAUGACUCCAUGACGCAUGUUGUGGGGUGGAAAGCCUUGUGCGGCUGAGGAUGGGCCCGCGGCCUAUCAGCUUGUUGGUGGGGUGANGGCCUACCAAGGCGACGACGGGUAGCCGGCCUGAGGGGGCGACCGGCCACACUGGGACUGAGACACGGCCCAGACUCCUACGGGAGGCAGCAGUGGGGAAUCUUGCGCAAUGGGCGAAAGCCUGACGCAGCGACGCCGCGUGAGGGAUGACGGCCUGGUGUAACGU